UCCAGACUCCUACGGGAGGCAGCAGUGGGGAAUAUUGCACAAUGGGGGAAACCCUGAUGCAGCGACGCCGCGUGAGCGAAGAAGUAUUUCGGUAUGUAAAGCUCUAUCAGCAGGGAAGAAAAAAAUGACGGUACCUGAGUAAGAAGCACCGGCUAAAUACGUGCCAGCAGCCGCGGUAAUACGUAUGGUGCAAGCGUUAUCCGGAUUUACUGGGUGUAAAGGGAGCGUAGGCGGCGCGUUAAGUCUGAUGUGAAAACCCGAGGCUCAACCACGGGAGUGCAUUGGAAACUGGCGGGCUGGAGUGCCGGAGAGGUAAGCGGAAUUCCUAGUGUAGCGGUGAAAUGCGUAGAUAUUAGGAGGAACACCAGUGGCGAAGGCGGCUUACUGGACGGCAACUGACGCUGAGGCUCGAAAGCGUGGGGAGCAGACAGGAUUAGAUACCCGCGUAAA
rnacentral:rRNA from 1 species